ACCAAAUUCUUUAAAGAAAAGUCUUGACAUAAAUUCAAAAAUUAUAGUCUCAUUAUAUUCUGAAUGUGCAAAAUUAUGGCACAGCAGUGAGAGGAGCUGAUGACUCAGAGGACAGACAGCCAGAGUCUGUGACGUCACCAAUACCGCAGCCUUGCCUGUGUUUACUUAACAUUCAUAAACACCCGCACGAGGAACACAAAACAGCUGAACCAAGACAUCUCUACACAGAUUGUCUGGUGAGUUUGCUGGCCAGUCAAGCACGCUAACACCAUGGUCACUUUUUGCAGUGUGGGUUUGUCAACUUGGAUGAAAAAGGCAUCUUUUUGUUUUCCACAGAAACCUGUUACAAUUCAUUUUCCACACAUGGCUUUUUCCACUACAAAAAAAAUUAUUUUAUCAUAUUUGAUUCAAGGCAACCGUGCCUAGUGUGAGUAUACCCUAAAAGUUCUCCUAAAUAGCAGCACAAAUUAUUUGCUAAGAGUUUCCUCUUAAACCCAUUCACAAAGCUUAAACCCAUUCAGGGCACUGGAUGGCAGGGUUACACCCCUACUCUUUUUCGAAGGACAUCCUGGGAUUUGUAAUGACCACAGAGAGACAGGACCUUGGUUUAAUGUCUCAUCCAAAAGACAGAAUGUACAUUAUGUGAAAAAAGAAUAUAUAUAUAUAUAUUCAGGUGGACUAUGAGUCAUACACACACACCCAUCUACAUCGCUGAGCUGUAGUGGAGCGUGUGUAGAGUUUCAAGUUCCUUGGCAUCCACAUUUCUGGUGACCUUACCUGGUCCAAUAACACCUCCACCCUGGUCAAAAAGGCCUUUACUUCUUACGUAG
rnacentral:lncRNA from 1 species